GGGGGGGGUAAAGCACAUGAUAAAGUAUGCACAAUGCAUUAUGUAAUGAAACGAAAAUGAAAAGUUUUAAUGCUAUUCAACAUUUUGGCAGUUUCUAUAAGAUCUCCAUUGCACAGUCAGAUUUUCACAACAAAACACUUCUUUUAAAAUCUAAAUUUUUUUGUUAAAAAUUCUACAAAAUAUAAUAUAAAAUGUAUUAAC
rnacentral:lncRNA from 1 species